GACGAACGCUGGCGGUGUGCUUAACACAUGCAAGUCGAACGAAGUGGCGAACGGGUGAGUAAUACGUGAGUAACCUGCCCUCCUGUUUGGGAUAAGCCUUGGAAACGGGGUAUAAUACCGAAUAAAGGGGGAUGGGCUCGCUGCCUGUACGCUUGGUGGUGGGGGGAUGGCCUACCAGUGCGGUGAAGAGUAGCAGGCCUGAGAGGGUGACCUGCGACAUGGGGACUGACAUACGGCCCAGGCUACUACGUGAGGCAGCAGUGUGGGAUAUUGGACAAGGGGCGAAAGCCUGAUGUAGCGACGCCGCGUGGGGGUUGACGGUUUUCGGGUUGUAAACCUCUGUCGCUAUCGAACGGGUAGGUGGAGAAGAAGCGCCGGCUAACUACGUGCCAGCAGCCGCGGUAAUAC
rnacentral:rRNA from 1 species